rnacentral:ncRNA from 1 species
UUGUUAGGUUUAUCUGCCGAGGAAUCUAACAGGGCAACAAUGGCGUUGCAACAGAUCGAUGGUCUGGCUUCGUAGAAAUACGUUGAAAAAUAAACUCAUUGAAUUCGGUGAAAAUCUUUCUAAGGAAAGAGAGACAAUACCGAGCGAAGCCUAAUAUUAUUAGGAACGUGUAACGACUAUUCCUUCGGGAAGUACAUCACAAACUAUUGGUGAUGGAAGCGGUGAGUACCCUAACGUAAAGACGAGGGUAAAGAUAUAGUCUAAUCUGCAUGGUAACAUGCAG